UAAUUUAAAAAUUGCUUCUUUAAUUGAAUAAAUUCUCCAACAUAUUUAUAAGUAUCCUAACUCAUACUAUGUCAAAACUGACCAACAAAGCAUCAAUGUUAUUAUAUAAAAUAAUUCAGCUAAUUAUUUCAAAACUUAUACACUCUUAUAAUAAGCGAGGACACACACAGAUACUGUUCCCCACGAGGAUAACAAUAAAACCCUAUAUCAACACUGCCAUAAAAUCGACAUUAGAUAAAAAAAAAUCUAAUUUCAGGAAUAACAAGACAAACAUUAUUGUGAACUAAUCAUCGAUUCCGUAAAUAAAUAGAAAUAUAUAUUUGAUAGAUCAAAUCAAAUCAAAUCAGUUCAGCACAAACAGACAAGACAUAUGAUAUUACUUUCAGGGUUAACAACGUAUGAGUACGUCACCAAAUCAGAGAUAAGAAAUCGAACCGCCAAAGCAUGAAUAUUUUGGCACAUAUUAACAGUAAAAGUCCUAAAUCAUCAGGCAAUAGAGUCUCCAAAGGUAUUGUAAAGAG
rnacentral:lncRNA from 1 species